GGCAGCCUAGGGAUUUCACCCAUGAACCCUAAUAUCCGAUUAUAUAGCAAAUGAGACGUGAAGAUAGAAAGGCAGAUUGAAUGCGAAUAAUGGUGGGAGUCUCCAGGUUGCAGAUGAAGCAUCGUGUGUUUCAUGAUCAACAACGGUGGCGGUUAGCAUGAAGCCAAUCGUUUUGGUUUUGCAGUUCCGAGACCUUUUCAAGAUUCAUAAUCCACUACUGGUUAGAGGAUUUGAGACACAGAUGCAGAAAUGGAUGGGUGCUUGUGACUGCAUUCAUUAUAACCAAGGCGGGGCCUGGCACGAUUGCUGAGGCGUUGAUCAGGGGGCUUCCGAUCAUCCUCAACGACUAUAUUCCAGGACAAGUAUACAAAAUUAAACGCUUCAUACUAUAUUCCUCAUUGAUGGGUUCAUUAGGUCUGAUAAGAGAAACUAGGAGAUCGAGUAACUACGUUUCAUCAAUUUGUUUCGCUAUUCGGAAAGGAAACCUGUAUCGGGGUAUAAAUAAAGGAGAUAACCGGAAGAGGUAUACUUGCAGCCGGCGAAAACAACGGUUCAGAAGAGACUGAUGCUACAACUCGCACCACAUCGAACCGAACUAGCAUACGCAUGUACCAGCAAGCGGUUGCUGGGAUUACUCACAUUUCACUUGGUGAAGAAGAAACCGUGUCUCCUAAAAAGCAAAUCUCCGAAGCUAAGCAACGGGAGCUAAGUGGCACAUUGGAUAGUGAAUCGGAAACAUGGUUGAAGAAACAAAUUUCGGAUGCAAAGAACAAGGAACUUAGUGGUCAUAAUAUUUUUGUAGCGCUGCCUGAAAUCCAACCCCACCAGUUGGCUGCUCGUGCAUUGGCUUUAAACGAAUCUAUAACCAUCGGUCAACCUACACAUAAUCUUGGGUGGGUGGUCCUUUGUAAAACAAAGAGUGUUGCGUUGACCAUACCAGAAUUGACAUUGGAGUUUAUGGGCUCAAUUGUUUUUAACCAUGAAGCCUUGAAGGAAUACCUUGAGUUGGUGUUUGUAUUUUUAGGUAGGUAGAAAUACUUGUGAGUGUAAGAUUUUGUAUGGAUUAAUAGGUGGAUUUAAGCUUUUGGUGUUUGUAGUAAUGUGGGCUUAAGGCGCCAUUUUCAUUUGUCAUAUUAGUUGGUCGCGUAACAACACUGAUGUAGGCAUCUCAUGUAGUUUUUCAUCAUAUCAAUUCAUAUUUCAUGAAACCGGCCACGUAAUGUGCGCCCAAAAAAACAUAUGUACCCGCGGCAACGCGCGGGCAUUUCCACUAGUAAUAAUUUAUGAGAGUUGAUAAACCAUAAA